rnacentral:rRNA from 1 species
UACGUAUGGUGCAAGCGUUAUCCGGAUUUACUGGGUGUAAAGGGAGCGUAGGCGGCGCGUUAAGUCUGAUGUGAAAACCCGAGGCUUAACCGGAGUAGUGCAUUGGAAACUGGGAGACUUGAGUGCAGAAGAGGAGAGUGGAACUCCAUGUGUAGCGGUGAAAUGCGUAGAUAUAUGGAAGAACACCAGUGGCGAAAGCGGCUCUCUGGUCUGUAACUGACGCUGAGGUUCGAAAGCGUGGGUAGCAGACAGG